rnacentral:rRNA from 1 species
GACGAACGCUGGCGGCGUGCUUAACACAUGCAAGUCGAACGGAAAGGCCCUGCUUUUGUGCGGUGCUCGAGUGGCGAACGGGUGAGCAACACGUGAGUAACCUGUCCCUGACUUUGGGAUAACUUCAGGCAACUGGGGCUCAUACCGGAUAGGAGCUCCUGCUGCAUGGUGGGGGUUGGAAAGUUUCGGCGGUUGGGGAUGGACUCGCGGCCUAUCAGCUUGUUGGUGGGGUAGUGGCUUACCAAGGCUUUGACGGGUAGCCGGCCUGAGAGGGUGACCGGCCACAUUGGGACUGAGAUGCGGCCCAGACUCCUACGGGAGGCAGCGGUGGGGAGUAGUGCACAAUGGGCGGAAGCCUGAUGCAGCAACGCCGCGUGCGGGAUGACGGGCUUCGGGUUGUAAUCCGCUGUCGCCUGUGACGAGGCGUGAGUGACGGUAAUGGGUAAAGAAGCACCGGCUAACUACGUG